rnacentral:lncRNA from 1 species
CAGAUUGCUUAUGGAUUAUUUUUGUCGACAUUCUGAUCUAUAGGGUUUUUCCCCACAUCAAGCAAUUCUCUGUGACAUGAGCUGGGCGUCUGACAAUUCAAUGUAAUUCUGACAGUGUCUACGUGGAGAGAGCACAGACCCCACAGGCUAAGGCUGUCCCACAAGACUGCCCCGACUAUUCAGAUGGCAGUCACAAGUCCAGGCUGUCACCUGUAUUUCUCACCACCGAGCUGUAGAUCAGAGCUUCCGACAACCCACUCCUUGCAUUCCACUAAUUGGCUAGAGCGGCUCACAGAACUCAGAGAAACAUUUUACCUACUACAUUACUGGUUUAUUAUAAAAGAAUAUAACUCGGGAACAGCCAGAUGGAAGAGAUGCAGAGAGCAAGGUGUGGGGAAAGAGCUCGGAGUUUCUAGGCUCUCGGAGCACGCCACUCCCCAAUCCGACAGCUCUCCGAACCCCAUCCUUUUGGGUCUUAUGGAGGCUUCGUUCCUUAGACACGAUUGAUUACAUCAUUGGCCAUUGGCGACUGUUUCCAACUCCAGCCCCUCUCCCCUUCCUAGAGGCGGGCCAGAAAGUUGCAGCCCUCUGAUCACAUGUUGGCUUCCACGGCAACCAGCUUUAUCCUUAGGUGCUUUCCAAAAGUCACCUCAUUAACAUAUCAAAAGACAUCUUCAUGCUUUCAUCACAGGAAAUUCCAAGGGUUUUUGGAGCUCUGUACGAGGCAUGGCCACUAAGACCAAGUAAGUGUUUCUUAUUAUAGAUCAGAAUAUCACACCUGGCCAAACCCCAGGUCCCCAGGACCGGCCCCUCUGGGCAGCCCCGCCCAGCCCUGCCCUGGGGGCCACGUAGAAGAAACGCCCUGGCAUAUUCUCUGCUGUUCUAGCCAUCCGCCUCCCAAAGCCAUUCUCCUCCCUUGGGAUUUAAAGUUUCCUUGCUGCUCAGGACUCCCGUCCAGCUCACCUCAACCUUGACGGAUGGUCGGACAGGUCCCAGACAACCUCCCCAGCCUCAGGUCCUGUCUGCCUGCCCCGGUAACACUGAGCAACCAGACGUCCUCAAGCGAGGCCUGCUCUUUUGGCCCCGGGGCCUUUGCCUGUGCUGUUCCCUCCUUCUGCCACAUCCUCCCCAUCUCCCCCUUUGACUGUCUGCAAACACACCUCCCCCAGGAAGCCUUCCCUGAUGAUCCAUUUCCUGGGCAGAGAGAGCAUCUCCUUCCCUGGGGCUUCUGCAGAAUGUUCUACAGUUCCAGCAUGGAAGACUCUAGAAUGUGGGCUGCUAUUAAUAGGAGCAUCGUGGCGCACCGAGUCUUGUGCACUGGUGCCCCCUCCCAGCGCAUGCCUCUCUCCAUCCAUGAGGUUCAAGAGUGGCAAACCAUGUUCCCCAGACCCAGGGUGGGCAACUAGUGUUUCUUAUCCCCGGGGCUCUAGCAUUUGACUCAGAAGUGGGCGUGUGACCUCAAUUUAAUCAAUCAGAGCUGAUCCAGGAAUUAGAGCCUUCUCAGAGGAGGGCGGAAAUGAGAAAUGGAGAAAGUGAGAUUGAGUUCUGAUGACAGCCUUUGAGCCUCUGGAUCCAGCCAUUCCUGAAGCUGAAAUCCCUGGGGUUUUGACAAAUGCAUAAGCCACUCACACUCAAAAAAGAUCCUGUCCAAUACAGAAAUUAAACAUGAGUAUGGCUCCAGGACACUGCCUUGGUCUUUGGAGAACACAGAAAGCAGCUCAGCCAAGGGGCAGCCCUCAUGUUCCCAGGAGCCUGGGCAUCUACUGUCUGCCUUUAUGAAGUCACUUGGCUCUGACUGCAGAACCCAGAGAUGGAUGCAGCCUGGAUCCCCGAAUCACGAGUGGAGGAGAGCUGCCAUCAGAAAUCACCCCCUUCACAGUGGACUCCAGAGAUGGCAGAUCCGUGACACACGCACCACCACUAAGAGGCUGGCACCCAGACAGACAUGACUAAUCGACCCUGGCACUCCUUCCUCCUCCAUCUCAGCACGUGCUCCAGGCAGCCUGUACCAAUGGAUCCACGAGCUGUAAGAUGCAUCAAGAUCCUUCUA